CUCGUCCCUCCAUCUCAACUCCCUUUCGUUUGGAAUCCGGCAUCAAAAAAGCUUAUUCUUCGGUUUCGGAUAGGGUUUUGUUUUUGAAAUCGAAAUGGGCCUGAAGGGCUUCUGCCAUCCCUCUCCCUCGAAAACCCUAGUCUUUCCGUUCUAUUUAAACCCUUUUUUUCUUCAGAAAAGGGGUUGGGAAAUUGGGGGGUUGAGAAAUUUUUAAGAAAAGUUCUUUGAGUGUUCUAUUGGUUUCCGAGAGAAUUAAAGAUUUUUUUAGAGUGAAUCUUUGGGUUGG
rnacentral:misc_RNA from 1 species